UUCUCUCCUUAUCCCCCGAGCAUUUCGGUCCCUCGUGAUUCGACUUCUCUUUCUGUAGCUUAGUAUAGUAAGGUGAGCGCUGAAGCGCUGCACGAAUCUUUCUUAGAAAGAUUCAGCGACGAAGUUCUGCCCCUGCAGAGCCCGACUCCUAGCUAAAACCCCCUUGUUUCGUCGAAGGAAAAUAGAAUCGUUAGAAGCAAGCGCUGCCCGAUUUUGGAAUCAUCACCUUAACAAGUAGUGGCGCAUGAGCAUAGGUGUGAUGUUUUGGACGAGGGAUUACAUAUAUAGACCUGUAGAUAUGAAAUAAUGUAGUAAGGCUUAUAUUGUACUGUUUAUGCUUUUGAUCUGUACGAACAUGACAUCCCGAGUCUUUUAAUGAAAUACAUUUCUAUGGAAAUGCUUUUGAUAAAUCUUUAUCAUAUUUUUGUUUUGGGACAAAUUCCGCAACACUUUCAUUUAAAAUGUAACUCUGAUUUUUAAACAAAGCAUAAACAAACCGGUCUUUUGUGGCCGUGAUUUUGGGGAUGUGACAAAUACCGCCUAUGAUAUUACAAGAAAGUUAGAUGCUACAAAUGUUGGUACACAGGUUCCAUCUACUGCCUCACAAAAUGUUAGUGAGAAUGGAGUUGGUUCAUACAAUGUUCAUACUUCUGCAUCUACACAAUAAAUGGUGGAUGGUUCUGGUAUAUCUUCAUGGCAUUUACAUACACAAUAAAUGGUGGAUGGUUCUGGUAUAUCUUCAUGGCAUUUACAUUCUUUAUUAUUUUUUAAUUUUGGGUCUGACUUUUGAGAUUAAUGCAACAUUAUCUCCUGAAGAAGAGUGAUUGUGGAACAUGGUAAAAGUUAAUUCACUAGAUUAUAAUGCUUGGAUUGUACUAAUAGAGGAGACAUAGAAAACAUCAGAGGCCAGUGUGUUGAAGAUCAGGAAAGUUUAUGAUGCAUUUUUGGUUGAACUUCCUUUGUGUUAUGGUUACUGGAAUAAGUAUGCUUGAAGAAAGAUUGGGGUCUAUCAGAAUGGAAUCAUUAAUUCCAAUUAUGUUGGAAUGGAAUCAUUAAUUCCAACAAAAUGCAUACAGUAAUUGAAUUUUGAAUUUCAAUUCUAUCGGAAUGGAAUCAUUAAUUCCAAUUCUGUUGGAAUGGAAUAUGGAUAUUUGCUAAUGCAUUAUUGGAUUCUAAACUACAAUUGGAUUUGUUUUCAUAGAUGUUGAUGCUUGAAGAACGAACCACAAAAUUGAAGUGAUUCUUAGCAACAUUAUUCUUUUAGAAUGUAUUAGUGUCUUUGUUAGAUUUGGAUGUUUUUUUUUUCCGAUUUGAAAGUUUUUUCUUAGCAAUUGUUGCCCGUAUUCUAUAAGAAUUAAUACAA